rnacentral:rRNA from 1 species
UACGGGGGGGGGCAAGCGUUUGUUCGGAAUUACUGGGCGUAAAGGGCUCGUAGGUGGCCAACUAAGUCAGACGUGAAAUCCCCAGGCUCAACUUGGGAACUGCGUCUGAUACUGGUUGGCUUGAGUGCAGGAGAGGAACGCGGAAUUCCAGGUGUAGCGGUGAAAUGCGUAGAUAUCGGAAGGAACGCCGGUGGCGAAAGCGCACGACUGGUCCUCUUCUGACGCUGAGGCGCGAAAGCCAGGGGAGCAAACGGG